rnacentral:piRNA from 1 species
UCCUCAUGCAAUUGCACAGCUUGCC